GCCACUUGGGGCGUAUCAGCGGGCUCGGCGCCAUGCUGGCCGCACUGCGGGACCCGAGCAGGCCUGUGGCUGCCUGGCAUGGGGAGUGGGCAAGGCUGUCUGAGCAGCAGAGCUGCCACCAGAGCUCUGAAGGAGGUGUGUGUGAAAAGUUCUGGUCGGACAGUUUUCCUCGCACAACUCGGAUCAGGUCAUUAUCAGCCAGCUUGGAACAGAGUCAGCAGAUAAGGAAGCCAGGCUAGAUGACAGUUAUAUCCUGCACUCUACUUGGUGUCAAGCUGUGGAAGGCAUCAUCAUCAAUGCUUUAUACAGUUAAAUAAAAAGACAUAUUGCUUUUAUAGUCA